CCUACGGGAGGCUGCAGUGGGGAAUUUUGCGCAAUGGGCGAAAGCCUGACGCAGCGACGCCGCGUGAGCGAUGAAGGCCUUCGGGUCGUAAAGCUCAGUCAUUGGGGAUGAUAAUGACAGUACCCAAAGAGGAAGCCCCGGCUAACUACGUGCCAGCAGCCGCGGUAAUACGUAGGGGGCGAGCGUUGUCCGGAAUUACUGGGUGUAAAGGGCGUGUAGGCGGGGAUGCAAGUUAUCGGUUAAAACCCGGGGCUCAACCUCGGGCUUGCCGGUAAAACUGUAUCUCUUGAGUAUAGGAGAGGGAAGUGGAAUUCCCGGAGUAGCGGUGAAAUGCGUAGAUACCGGGAGGAACACCAGUGGCGAAGGCGGCUUCCUGGCCUAUUACUGACGCUGAGGCGCGAAAGCUAGGGUAGCGAACGGGCUUAGAUACCCUAGUAGUC
rnacentral:rRNA from 1 species